rnacentral:rRNA from 1 species
UAAGGAAUAUUGGUCAAUGGACGCAAGUCUGAACCAGCCAUGCCGCGUGGAGGAUGAAGGCCCUCUGGGUUGUAAACUUCUUUUAUUGGGGAAGAAACCGGUGUUUUCUAACGCCGUUGACGGUACCUGAUGAAUAAGCACCGGCUAACUCCGUGCCAGCAGCCGCGGUAAUACGGAGGGUGCAAGCGUUAUCCGGAUUCACUGGGUUUAAAGGGUGCGUAGGUGGGCAGGUAAGUCAGUGGUGAAAUCUCCGGGCUUAACCCGGAAACUGCCGUUGAUACUAUUUGUCUUGAAUAUAGUGGAGGUGAGCGGAAUAUGUCAUGUAGCGGUGAAAUGCUUAGAUAUGACAUAGAACAUCGAUUGCGAAGGCAGCUCGCUACACUAUUAUUGACACUGAGGCACGAAAGCGUGGGGAUCAAACAGGAUUAGAUACCCUGGUAGUCCACGCCCUAAACGAUGGAUACUCGACAUCAGCGAUACACGGUUGGUGUCUGAGCGAAAGCAUUAAGUAUCCCACCUGGGAAGUACGACCGCAAGGUUG